UAAUUAAUUUCUCUUAUAGAUGCCAACCCAGUUAUUUAUCAUAGUGGAUUCAAAUGUUGCCUAAUUAGACCCUUCUGGUUUUCCCCCUAGGUCAUUCUUAGACUGAUGACUGAAGACCUUUUGUUUUAGAAAACAUUGGCUUAGUGUGCAGUGCCUGACACAGAGCCCACCACACACAUGUGCGCUGGAACUUCUCUUCUGGAAACCCGUACUUCCACAGAUGCUCUCUAAUCCACAUCUGGUUGUCUAAGUCGGCAUUCUCCAGGGGCUCCCAGACUGCAGACCAAGAGAGGCUGGAGCGGGUUCACAGGCCGCUGCAGGGUCCGCGGCUGAGACUGAGGUCUGUCUGCCUCUUACCCUCCGCACAGAAGCAGUUUAGUAUAUUGGAAAGCACAGCCGUGAAGACGUUUGACUGUCCAGAAAGUUAAUUUUCCUCUCUGAGCCUCUGAUUUCUCACCUACAUAAUGGAGUGAAUAGUUGCUUAUCACACAAUGUGUGGCAAGGACUGGCUGAAUGGAUACAACUGAAAAAAAAAAAUCCUAGAAAGCAC